rfam:Leucoagaricus sp. SymC.cos contig10910, whole genome shotgun sequence.
GGGCACUUGGCCUAGUGGUAUGGCGUAUGCUUUGCACAUAAGCACUGCUUAUAAAAAUGUAUAAGGUCGUGGGUUCAAUCCCCACAGUGUCCA